GACGAACGCUGGCGGCGUGCUUAACACAUGCAAGUCGAACGGAAAGGCCCUGCUUUUGUGGGGUGCUCGAGUGGCGAACGGGUGAGUAACACGUGAGUAACCUGCCCUUGACUUUGGGAUAACUUCAGGAAACUGGGGCUAAUACCGGAUAGGAGCUCCUGCUGCAUGGUGGGGGUUGGAAAGUUUCGGCGGUUGGGGAUGGGCUCGCGGCUUAUCAGGUUGUGGGUGGGGUAGUGGCUUAGCAAGGCUUUGACGGGUGGCCGGACUGGGAGGGAGAACGGACAGACGGGGACGGAGGUACGGCGGAGAAGCGGAAGGGAGGGAGCGGUGGGGGAGAUGGGAAGAGGGGGGUAAGGCUGAGGGAGCGACGCCGGGUGGGGGAGGACGGGCGUGGGGUUGGAAAGUCGUUUAGUUAGGGACGAAGCCAAACCUUUGUGGGGUGUGGUGACGGUACCUUGGUGAAGAAGCACCGGCUAACUACGUG
rnacentral:rRNA from 1 species